rnacentral:rRNA from 1 species
GUAUAUGUAUGANGUUAUGAUGCGAGUUACUCUNUGUAGUAUUGCUUGCACAUACUUUUACAUUUAUUUGCAAGAUGUUGUCGGCGUGCACUUCUCCCCUAGUAGAACGUCGCGACCCGUUGGGUGUCGGUCUACGACCCGAGUGGUAGACUUUAAUAUUUUNAUAAUAUUAAAGACCCUUGGUGUUUUCUGACCGGCUGCCCGGCGGUACUCGUACGGUAUUUAGCCGCAAUUUAUUUNGCGUCCA